rnacentral:lncRNA from 1 species
GAGAAGUUACCAUGUUCCCUCCACACCUGACUGUGGAACAUUCCUCAGAGCUCGGAGACGCAGUCCAGCACCUGGAAAGGUCCUGUGCAUCACCGGGCCACCGAGGAGGCUCCGCCGCCCGGAGGAAAACAUCCAUCAGAUGACUGUCCUUCUGGGAGGAAGAAAAGAGGAAAACAGUCCUUUCAGAAACUCAGGAGAGUCUCUUGACUUUACGAAUCCACCAAAAGUGGAAGCAGGGUGAUCCAAUUCGGCAGAGACUAAACUCGCACGCCACCUCUAGAAUCGGUGAAUCGGUUCCUGGUGAGCGUGAUUGUCCGUGUGACCAAAGAGUGUGUGCGUUCCAUGAGCUACUUUGUGGACGACAUGAUUCCUUUUUAUAUAUAUAUUUUUGUCCAUGUGAUGAGAACUCAGGAU